rnacentral:lncRNA from 1 species
AUGAUAAUUAUCAUCUUAAUUAUAUGGCCAAGUGUAAAAACAGAAGAACAAGUGUUAGGCUUAGUAGAAAACCCACCAGCUUAUACAUAUCCUGAUGUUAAUAAUGUGCCCUUUACCUGUGAAUCAAAUGUACCAAGGUCAGGAUGUGAGCCCAGAGGGACUCUAUCCCUCAUUAAGACAGAAGUAAAAAAUUAUACUAUUCCUUGGUUAACCUGUGCUAAGGAAUUGGUGGGACCUUGGAGAGAUUUAAUUGAACGAUUUCUCUCUAGCAAUUGUAAAAGGUCCAAAAUAGAGUGCGGUAAUUAUACUUGUCACGCGCACAAUACUUAUACAAAUUGGACAUGUCGUGGUGUAGUACCAAAAUUGGCAGGGCCCUUAAACCUAAUAACAAAACAAAGUAUAUCCUUUUUGACUGAUGCAGGAUCUAUGGAAUGUAGAGACAUUACAGAGAUUAAGGAAAACGCCCCCUUAACUUGCACAAUGAGAGGAUGCUCACUGGAAGGAACUAUUUAUGAAGCGUGUGAUGAGUGGAAACAAACAAUGUUUGAAAUGGGAUUAAGUAGACUGUGUGUCAGACUCCCAUUUGCUUUAAUUAAAUGCUUAGAAUAUAAGACAUAUAGCCUGAGCAGAGAUGACAAAUCUUCCUGCGGAAAGCCUAACUGUACCUCGUGGGUAACAACAACAUGCACAGAAGAGAUACCUUUCGUAGGGCCAGAUCUAACCCUGCUAGGAUUAGAGCAUUCGUAUUUAGAACCAUAUGUUAAUAAUAGCAAGGAGAGGAUGGAUUACUCAGAAUGGGAAACUGCAUUUUCCCAUGACAUAGAUCCCAGUCUUAUUAUAACAAAGAUUCAGGGGCAUAUCAGUUGCUUCCACAUAGCUAUAAAGGACUCUUUGGUGUGGAUGACCUUUGAACUAAACAGGGGAGUCCAAAUAGGGGAGGGACAAGAAAAGGAUCUAGAGAGAAUUAGUCACGUAGAGUGUUCCUUCUAUUAUGAAAAUGAGAGUUACUACCUUAAUGAAUCAAACACCCUAUUUAUCAACUCCAGGCUUUGGAUAUAG